rnacentral:rRNA from 1 species
UGGUCCCACCUGACCCCAUGCCGAACUCAGAAGUGAAACGCCGUAGCGCCGAUGGUAGUGUGGGGUCUCCCCAUGCGAGAGUAGGGAACUGCCAG